GGUGAACGCUGGCGGCGUGCCUAAUACAUGCAAGUCGAGCGAACGGACGAGAAGCUUGCUUCUCUGAUGUUAGCGGCGGACGGGUGAGUAACACGUGGAUAACCUACCUAUAAGACUGGGAUAACUUCGGGAAACCGGAGCUAAUACCGGAUGAUAUUUUGAACUGCAUGGUUCAAAAGUGAAAGACGGUCUUGCUGUCACUUAUAGAUGGAUCCGCGCUGCAUUAGCUAGUUGGUAAGGUAACGGCUUACCAAGGCAACGAUGCAUAGCCGACCUGAGAGGGUGAUCGGCCACACUGGAACUGAGACACGGUCCAGACUCCUACGGGAGGCAGCAGUAGGGAAUCUUCCGCAAUGGGCGAAAGCCUGACGGAGCAACGCCGCGUGAGUGAUGAAGGUCUUCGGAUCGUAAAACUCUGUUAUUAGGGAAGAACAUAUGUGUAAGUAACUGUGCACAUCUUGACGGUACCUAAUCAGAAAGCCACGGCUAACUACGUG
rnacentral:rRNA from 1 species